GGAUGCUUCGAUCAGGAUGAGACAAUUAAAGCAGGAAAAUCAUGUUGUGCCGGAAGAACAUGUCAGAAGAUUGGACGUCGGGCCGGUGGAUCGGUCGACGUAUCGACAGAAGGCUUCGGGCCGUGGACUCGGGCAACGGGCCAAGAAGAGCAGGUAUUGUGCCAAGGAUAUCGGAGUUGCAGAGUCAACUGGCCGAUUGGGCAAUAGGCUGCAAGAAAGGACGAUGCGCCGAAGAAUCGGACGAAGCGUCGAGGGACCAAUGACAUGCCGGACAACUUGGUUAAUUGCUUAGGAUUAAU
rnacentral:lncRNA from 1 species